GAUGAACGCUGGCGGCGUGCCUAACACCUGCAAGUCGAACGGAGCUUUCGGACGGAAGUUUUCGGAUUGAAGGCUGUAAUUCUUAGUUGCGGACGGGUGAGUAACUCGUGGGCCACCUGCCCUAUACAGGGGGAUAGCAGCUGGAAACGGCUGGUAAUACCGCAUAAGUUGGCGAGACCGCAUGGUUUUGCCGGGGAAUGAGCAAUCAGGUAUAGGAUGGGCCCGCGUCCGAUUAGCCAGUUGGCAGGGUAAAAGCCUACCAAAGCAACGAUCGGUAGCCGGACUGAGAGGUCGGACGGCCACAUUGGGAGUGAGACACGGCCCAAACUCCUACGGGAGGCAGCAGUGGGGGAUAUUGCACAAUGGAGGAAACUCUGAUGCAGCGACGCCGCGUGAGUGAAGAAGUAUUUCGGUAUGUAAAGCGCUAUCAGCAGGGAAGAUGAUGACGGUACCUGACUAAGAAGCCCCGGCUAACUACGUG
rnacentral:rRNA from 1 species